UUUUACCAGAAGAAUGAUUAAUCUGCUGUGGUAUCCCAGAUAAAUUUCAGGAGAGCAGGCUCCCUUGGGCUGACAGUGUAUCGUUUGCCUCAGGACAAAUGCCCUCACAGCCUGUCAAGUUGGCUGAACACAGGCUUCUGAAGAAUUGGACUUUUUCAACAUGGCCCUCAGGCUCCAGUGACCUCCAUCAUCACUGCAAGGACAAGCCCUGUCCUUGACCUUUCCUGCAGUUACCAGGAGGCAGAGUUUACACCACGGAGGCACAGGCAGAGCGCAGAUAACCGGGUAAAUUUCGUUAAAUGAGUAAGACACAACCUUCUCAAAGGGAGAUUUGAUCCCAUUCUCUGAAGAAACAGGCUUUAGGAGCUCCAUCAUCCUCUCCAUCAGAUGUAUGCACAGAUGCAACCUCCUCCUUUUCCCUGGUUCCCUUCUCAGGUGAGAGAGACACCUGGCUGACAGAUCACAGUGUAACUCAGACCAUCUGAAACCAAAGUGAAAUUUGAAAUAAACUAUAUUUGAGCUAACUGC